CUUCUCUUCACACCACUCGUUCUCCUUGCGAACCUGAAACAGAACAGGGCAGACCUUAGACAACCAGCAUGACUAAGAUUAAGGCAUGGAUGUAAAUAUACAUUUACCAAAGAACAUGGCACUCAAAGCUAUGGAUGUUGCCGAAACCCAAAUUACGUCCAAACAGCACUUUUGAGGACCUCAAGACACUAUCCACUCUGCAAGUAGCAGCGAGUAGGAAAGCAGUAUCGAAAAAAUGGUGGCGCAAAUCAGCGAAAUGCAAAAUGCAAGAGAAAUGUUAUUCAAAUAGCAGUGUUUGGGGACUAAGGUUGAUCUUGCUCCCUCCCCAGAACACUUCAGAGAUCGAAUGUGCACAUACUGCAGCAUGGGAUUAGUGAAUAAAGGUCCAUGCAGUGCUCAAUAAGCUGCA